rnacentral:tRNA from 1 species
GGGGUUUUGGCUCAGUGGUAGAGCGCUUGCCUAGCAAGCGCAAGGCCCUGGGUUCGAUCCCCAGCUCUG